AGAAAGUGACAGAGCGGCUAUGCGGUUGGCUUGAAACUAGCUUACGGGGGUUCGAUUCCCUCCUUUCUCG
rnacentral:tRNA from 1 species